ACAAAAAUGGCAACUUCACACACUUCUUUGUUCUCCAAAGGCUCACCCUAACUCCUUUGCUUUGUUUCAAGAUUCACAUAGGUUGAUAUUUGAUCCUGGAGGACACAUCUUGACGAAGCAAGAGGCUGCUAUCCGAGAUCAAGAAAGCAAAUCUGAGGAUAGAUCUUCUCAAGACGGAGGAGAUGAUGGACACCAUCCAGCCACAACCAUUCCCUUAGCAAAAGCCUUGGAUUUGAGGACAAAUCCUUUUCAAGAGGGAGGGGAUGAUGGAGGAAGGCCCAAGCUCAC
rnacentral:lncRNA from 1 species